AGAGUUUGAUCCUGGCUCAGGACGAACGCUGGCGGCGUGCUUAACACAUGCAAGUCGAACGGAAAGGCCCCUUCGGGGGUGCUCGAGUGGCGAACGGGUGAGUAACACGUGGGUGAUCUGCCCUGCACUUCGGGAUAAGCUUGGGAAACUGGGUCUAAUACCGGAUAGGACUACGGCAUGCAUGUGCUGUGGUGGAAAGUUUUUAACGGUGUGGGAUGGGCCCGCGGCCUAUCAGCUUGUUGGUGGGGUGAUGGCCUACCAAGGCGACGACGGGUAGCCGGCCUGAGAGGGUGUCCGGCCACACUGGGACUGAGAUACGGCCCAGACUCCUACGGGAGGCAGCAGUGGGGAAUAUUGCACAAUGGGCGCAAGCCUGAUGCAGCGACGCCGCGUGGGGGAUGACGGCCUUCGGGUUGUAAACCUCUUUCACCAUCGACGAAGGCCCGCUUUUGGUGGGUUGACGGUAGGUGGAGAARAAGCACCGGCCAACUACGUGCCAGCAGCCGCGGUAAUAUYGUWCG
rnacentral:rRNA from 1 species